AUCAUCUAAUAGCCUCUCCUUAGUGUCCUUUCCAUAUUGCUCUCUCUCUCUGUCUCUUAUAUAUAUAUUGUUUUUCAAGGAGCUGUUAAAUUUUCUUCCAAUGUCGAUUAAAUCAUCUAAUAGCCUUUUCUUAGUGUCCUUUCCAUAUUGCUCUCUCUCUCUCUCUCUCUCUCUCUCUUUCUUAUAUAUAUAUUGUUUUUCUAGGAGCUGUUAAAUUUUCUUCCAAUGUCGAUUAAAUCAUCUAAUAGCCUUUCCUUAGUGUCCUUUCCAUAUUGCUCUCUCUCUCUCUCUCUCUUUCAUAUAUAUAUAUUGUUUUUCAAGGAGCUGUUAAAUUUUCUUCCAAUGUCGAUUAAAUCAUCUAAUAGCCUCUCCUUAGUGUCAUUUCCAUAUUGCUCUCUUUCUCUUUCUCUUAUAUAUAUAUAUAUAUAUAUAUAUUGUUUUUCAAGGAGCUGUUAAAUUUUCUUCCAAUGUCGAUUAAAUCAUCUAAUAGCCUCUCCUUAGUGUCCUUUCCAU
rnacentral:lncRNA from 1 species